AUGGCGUUCGGGCGGUAUACACAUGCGAUCGUCUGUCGAGUUCCCAACAGCAUCAAGCAAUGUUCGUCGGGUGUUAUAGGCGACAUAAACGUUGAAUUGGCGAGAAAAGAACACGAAGAAUUUUGUAAAACUCUUCGUAGUCUUGAUCUUGAUGUCAUCGAACUGCAGGCCGACGAGUCAACACCGGACUGCGCAUUCGUUGAUGACACGGCGAUCAUUUGCAACGGCGCUGCCUUAAUCUGCAGGCCAGCCAACGGACAGCGCCAGAAGGAACUGGACAUAAUACGGGCUACCAUCAAGAAAGAACUGGGCAUUGCAGUAAUGGAGAUCCGGGACCCAAAGGCAAUUAUUGAAGGUGGAAACGUGCUUUUCACAGGUCACGAGUUCUUUGUGGGCAUAUCACCUCGGACGAAUGAGGCAGGAGCACGGGCACUGGCUGCUGCAUUCCCUGAAUAUCCUGUGACACCUGUCAAACUGCCCAAGCGCAACCAUCUCAAGGCUCUUUUGUCCAUGGCUGGCCCCGAUGUCAUCUGCCUGUCAGACAGCCCGGAGGCACAGGCUGUUAAAAGGCAAGUGGAGAGAGAAGCAACAUUCCAGUACCAGACAGUGACUUUGCCUGAAGAGAGGGCAGCUGGCUGCUUAUACAUCAAUGGGCGUUUGCUGCACAGGCACGAGUUUCCAACUGCUAACCAGGAGUUUGCCCAAAAGAUUGACUAUGGCCGUGUCACACUUGCGGUAACGGAGCUGAGCAAAGCCAGCACGGGUCUUCCCAGCCUGGCCCUUUUGGUGCGAAAGAGCAGGCAUCAUUGAAGCCAGGAACGCAUCCAGCUUUUACGCAUUCGCACGCCCCACCGUUCCACUCUGCCAACUCUGGUUAGGUAUUGUUCAAACAAGUAUUAUGUGCAGGUAAUGUGUUGCCAAUGCACAAGAUAAAUUACAGCUUGCUGUAGUGUAAAGAAAGAAUACUUGUUCCUCCCAAAGCAUUUUGUCAAGCUUUGUGUCAAAGUAUCUGCUGCCUAACAACUGAUUGGUGCAUAGAGGUCUCAUGCAGCCCAACUUUUUUCACCUACACAAGUGCACACAAGCUUGUUGCUUAUUGAGCAGAGCCAUAAAUGAGCAUGGCAGCGCCAGUCUUUUAGUCCCAUCCACCCUUCAUUUUAGGUUGAAACUCUGGCUUUUGCCUUUGACAACUCUUCUUAAAGUGUCAAUGCCUUGCUUUUUUGUUGUGAGCCGCAAAGUACACAGAAUAUGAUUUUUGCUUAUGUAUUAAUGAUGUUUCAUUUUGGCUCAUGGGCUUGCCCACACAGACAUGACACUGGUGCUGCAUUGUUUGACUCUUAUAGCCAACUCAUAGGUAGGCUGCGGAUGUUUUAGCUCUUAUUGAUGGUCACACGUAGCAUUUCUUUUUCCCCUUUAGUGAGCAUUAUUUUUAUACGGCUUCAUGCUCAACUGUGUGCACAUUGAAAAUUAUGUUCAUCUAAAACAGAAGAUUGCUUAUUAUGCCUUGAGGCAAACUUCUUGAUUUGUGAUAAUGUUCUGUUGGCUUUUAUUAUUGUUUGCAAAAAAUGUAACAACAUUUACAAUGUUCCUAUCAAUCCAAAUGUGGGUACUAGCACCAGACCAAAAAUGAUAUCAGUCAUACAUUCUCAUUGGCCUCUAUAGCUAUUUUCAUUAAUUGGUGUUUACAUUUUCUUCUUUCAAUCAAUCUUAAUUCCAUCAGCUUACAAGAACAAAUAAUAUUGCACUUACUGAAUGUCAGAGUGGAUUUCCUGUGCCUUUCUUAAGUUUUUUCACUCACUGUCUAUUAACAUCAGGUGACAACAGAUAGCGUUACACUGAUUUGAUGCUGAUGUAGAUUUCCCUUGCCUUUCAUAAUGCAAGGAAGUUUUGCACCGAGAAGUAUUCCCUUACUAAAUGUGUGCCUUGGAAGCUAUAUGUGUGCUCAUGCAUCAUUAUAAUUCAUUGUUGUAGCACUAUGCUUUCAGCAGCUUGUUUAUACUAAGCAUAAGGAAAUACCAUCAUUAUGCUUUGCUAAGGUUUUAUUUUACAUCAAACAUUGUGUUCCAUUGUUAAAAGCAUUGCAGCUGCACACAAACAAUGAUGUGUGAAAAAAGAAAGCUUUCAUUAUUGCAUUGGACAGUUAGAGGUGAAACAGAGCUUGUAAAAUUGUGCUGAUAAUUUGUGCACACUGGUUAAGAAGUUUACUCCUGCUUAUUCAUUUUGAUGUGAAUAGUUAUGAGAUACGUUAUGUGACUAUGGCUUUGGUGCAUCUUAAAAGAGUACGGUGAUCAUUAUGACAAUACUGUGUUGUUUAUGUAGAACCAGGGAAAUAUAGAAACACUAGGCAUGCUCUUCAACGUGUGUUGUGCAGCUUAGAAUAGUUGUCAACAACUGCUGUUGAUGUAAGCACGAAAGAAAUGAAAAACUUUGCACAUAACAAAUUGCUGGAAGUUACAGUACUUGCAUAGCUGCACUGACUUUGUGUAGCAGUACUGAGCAAUUUAUAGUUUUUAAU
rnacentral:misc_RNA from 1 species